rnacentral:rRNA from 1 species
AGAGUUUGAUCAUGGCUCAGAACGAACGCUGGCGGCGUGCUUAACACAUGCAAGUCGAGUGCGCGCCUGUAGCAAUACAGGUGGCGCACGGCGCACGGGUGCGUAACACGUGGGUAAUCUGCCCUCUGAUGGGGAAUAACUCGCCGAAAGGCGAGCUAAUUCCGCAUAACAUUCCGAGAACUUCGGUUUUUGGACUCAAAGGCGUAAGUCGUCGGAGGAGGAGCCCGCGCACGAUUAGCUAGUUGGUGAGGUAAUGGCUCACCAAGGCUAUGAUCGUUAGCUGGUCUGAGAGGAUGGCCAGCCACACUGGAACUGAGACACGGUCCAGACUCCUACGGGAGGCAGCAGUGGGGAAUCUUGCACAAUGGGCGAAAGCCUGAUGCAGCGACGCCGCGUGGGGGAUGAAGCUUCUCGGAGUGUAAACCCCUUUCGACCCGGACGAAUACCUCGCAAGAGGGGUGACGGUACGGGUAUAAGAAGCCCCGGCUAACUACGUGCCAGCAGCCGCGGUA